GACGAACGCUGGCGGCGUGCCUAAUACAUGCAAGUUGAGCGCUGAAGGUUGGUACUUGUACCAACUGGAUGAGCAGCGAACGGGUGAGUAACGCGUGGGGAAUCUGCCUUUGAGCGGGGGACAACAUUUGGAAACGAAUGCUAAUACCGCAUAAAAACUUUAAACACAAGUUUUAAGUUUGAAAGAUGCAAUUGCAUCACUCAAAGAUGAUCCCGCGUUGUAUUAGCUAGUUGGUGAGGUAAAGGCUCACCAAGGCGAUGAUACAUAGCCGACCUGAGAGGGUGAUCGGCCACAUUGGGACUGAGACACGGCCCAAACUCCUACGGGAGGCAGCAGUAGGGAAUCUUCGGCAAUAGACGAAAGUCUGACCGAGCAACGCCGCGUGAGUGAAGAAGGUUUUCGGAUCGUAAAACUCUGUUGGUAGAGAAGAACGUUGGUGAGAGUGGAAAGCUCAUCAAGUGACGGUAACUACCCAGAAAGGGACGGCUAACCACGUG
rnacentral:rRNA from 1 species